rnacentral:piRNA from 2 species
UGUAACAAACUACCCCACCAUUUAGCAGCUU